ensembl:lncRNA
GAUUUUCAGGAACUGAGGAGACCGGUUGUUGGACUUGUUGUCUCACCCUUCUCCCUUCUGUAGGAUUCCAGCUACUUAACAAUCCUGGGUUGUCUUUCAUUUAAUGAAGUGCUAAAUGUUUCCAACUUGUGACAGGUCUCGACUGCAGGCGGGCUCACUCAGCACCUGAGCUCCACUCUGCUAUGAAACCAUGCUACUUCAUAAAUGCAGCGUGUGGUGUAACUGUCAUAAACGCUGGAGUUUAGUCUGGCUUUUUGGAUUCUGAAUUCUUUUUAUUUUGAGUUUUGUAUUUUUACUCUCAGCAAUUAUUUCCUGAUUGGUUUCUUUGUGUUUAAGUCCUCAGACCUUAGUUUUAGUGUAGCUUUCUGAAUUCUGUUCAUGAUUAUAAUCUAUUUAUAUUUAAUGCUACCAACCAGUUGUUCCUCGUGCUUUGUGUUAAGUCUAAGUAUCUGUGUCUGGUGUUCUCGUAAUUUGGUUAUUUCUUGUUUUAUUUUAGUAACCUUUGUCUUUUAUGUUUAGGAUUUUCAUCUGUGUCUUGUAACCUGUUUUUUUUUUUCUUAAAAUGAUGUCAUCUGGAUGGGAGCAUACAGGUAUGUUGAUUUAAAAUCUGUAUAUACUGUUAAGCAUAUGUGCAAGCUACAAAUCCUUUAGGCACUGAUGCACCCCCAUACAAUCAGAGAUGCGGGCUUUUGAACCGAGCAAUGAUUUUCAUGACAGAAUCAUGUCUGUUUUUAAUGCAGUACUAUCGGUGGGCCCCAAAGAUCACGGGCAUCCAAUAAUCAUGUUUUGCGCCUGUCCCUUGCGCACAGAGAUUUCUCCAAAACUCUCAGAUUCUCAGAAUCGUAUUAUGUAGAGUAGAUGAUACUUAAAGUCUUUGCAAUUUUACAUUCAAGAACAUCAAUUUUAAACUAAUCCACAAUUUGUAGACUGCCCCCCCCAUCUUUAAACCUUUAAACUCUGCCUUUCUAAGAUGCUCUUUUAAUACCAAUCGUAUCACUGACCUGUUGCCAGUUAACCUAAUUAGUUGGAAAAUUUUCCUCCAGCUGUUUCACCCUGUGACAGACUGGCGACCUGUCCAGGGUGUACCCUGCCUCUCGCCCUAUGACAGCUGGGAUAGGCUCCAGCACCCCCCGCGACCCUGAAAAGGAUAAGCGGAAGCGAAUGGAUGGAUGGAUGGAUGUUUCUUUUUAAUACCACUCACUUUUUUUACUUUUUAGCUUUUUUUUGAGACACUUGCUGCCAUCAAGUUGAAAAUAAGCAAAGACAUUUUAAUGAAAAGAUGAAAUGUUUCAGUUUAAACAUUUCGUGUGUUUUCUGUGAAUAAAAUAUGGGUUUACAAGAAUCGCAGAUCAUCAUUUUUUGCUUUUAUUUACAUUUUUAACAGCAACUUAUUUUUCAACAAUCUUUUGUUAGUUUGGGUUGUAGGUAGAAGGGUUUAUUU